rnacentral:tRNA from 1 species
GGAGGAAUGGCCGAGUGGUUGAAGGCGGCGGUCUUGAAAACCGUUGAAGGAAACUUCCGUGGGUUCGAAUCCUACUUCCUCCGCCA